rnacentral:rRNA from 1 species
AUUGAACGCUGGCGGCAUGCCUUACACAUGCAAGUCGAGCGGCAGCGCGGGGGCAACCCUGGCGGCGAGCGGCGAACGGGUGAGUAAUGCAUCGGAACGUGUCCUCUUGUGGGGGAGUAACCAGUCGAAAGACUGGCUAAUACCGCAUGAGAUCGAGAGAUGAAAGCGGGGGACCGCAAGGCCUCGCGCGAGAGGAGCGGCCGAUGCCCGAUUAGCUAGUUGGUGGGGUAAUGGCCUACCAAGGCGACGAUCGGUAGCUGGUCUGAGAGGACGACCAGCCACACUGGGACUGAGACACGGGCCCAGACUCCUACGGGAGGCAGCAGUGGGGAAUUUUGGACAAU